CAGCCGUGUCCCUCUCUCGUCCUCUCACUUCCUGGUCCGAAGCCCCUUCCGCUUCCCGGCCUUCCGCUUCUUCCUCUGCUCUCGAGUCGGUGGUCCCUGGUGAUUGAGGAGACGGUGGCGAUUCUCCCUGUUCGCUAUAAACAUUAACGGACAAGCGGAUCCCGAACGCACCGCAGACGCUCCGGUCCAGUACAGAGCGGAGCAGAGCCUCCUGUCGCUAUCCUCCUCGGGAGGGUUCCUGCUGUUCGGGAUCUGUGGUUAACGGUGGAUUUCAAGUAAGGUGCAGGAACACUGCUGCUUCGCCGGCCCGCAAUCGGUGGUGGCUGGGCGCUGUGGACUGGCUUGCUGCCCCGUUCAAUAGACUGACGGGUGUGCGUCUUUCCUGCUUCGCUGGCUUUUGCUUCGCUUGCUGCCUCUGCUACUGCUGUUAGGUGACGGCCUUUUCCUGCCGGUUGCCGCUCGCUCCCCCCCGGUCCUCCG